rnacentral:lncRNA from 1 species
AAAUAGAAUUAUAUUCUAUAUAUAAUGUUUGAAAUUUUUUUAUUUAAAACACAGCGAAAGUAUUUAUUCGUAAUUUUUACGGAAGUGACUCGUGCUAGAACAUGAUGAGUCCGAAUCAUAGAAGUUGAUUCAAGUAUUUUUAGAUCGUUCACGAAAAUUUUCUAACGCUCCAAACCCACAGUAAAUUGAAUUACGAACGAGUACCAUCUCUAAUCCACAGUUCAAAAUCUUUUAGAUCAAUAGGUUAAUGGAGAAUGUAGUUUCUCUCUCUCACAAGACAGCUCACGAAUUACUCACGAAUUUAUGAAUAUUUUGUCUCUAUUUUGUCUUAUUUUAUUUUUUUAUUAUAUCUUAUGGGAGAUAGCCCAUAUAUUUAUAAAAGGUAAUGAAACUCUAAUAAGAAAGUAAACGAUUAGGCUUAAUCAGUUUAUAAUUAUUAUCCUAAUAUGGUUAGAAUAUAUAUUUAAUUAGCUUUUCAAUUUAAAAGCGAGAUUAAUUCUAAUUCAAUUAGACAACAUAAUAACCGCCAGAUCGAGCCUGAUCAUGGACGCACCCGAUUCGAUCCGAUCAAACACCAACAUUCAUCUAUCAACUUAACCUUUUGGAUGGACAUAAGCUCUUCAAUCGAAUCAUUAGAUCAAUUUUUAUACCCUGCAAUUUUUGUGUUGGCAGGGUCCGUUUAUAUACAAAGUUUAUUGUGUCAUGGGGAAUAUUAGGAUGCUACAAUAUGUCACAAGAAACAACACUGCAGUGUGAUAUCAGAAAAAAAAAAAUUAAAAAAAAAACUUUGCUACUAACUUCUGCUACUUAGGGGUGGAAACGAGCCGAGCUCGAGCGAGUUUACCUCAGCUCAAGCUUGGCUUAAAAUUAAUUUCGAGCCUAAAUUUAAGCUCAAGCUCGGUUUGAAAUUAAUUCGAGCCAAGCUCGAGCGAGCCUAAUUUCGAGUCGAGCGAGCUCGAGCUCUAAACGAGCUGCUUGAAAUUCUUAACAUCGUACAAUCUAUAGUUUAAUUUUUAUAACAUAUUAUCUAAAAUUCGAUAUAAAAAAUGUCUAAUAACUCAACAUACAAAAUGAAUGCAUGAAAUACGAUAUUAUAAUAUUAAAAAAAUGAGGAAAAACAACUCUAUGAGCGAGUGAAAAAGAGAAAGAAAGAGCAAUUAAAGUAAAAUUUUGCUGGUUUGGUUUUAUGGGCCCAAUAAUCUAAAUUCUAUAUACAUACAAUUAAAAUACAUAAUAUAAAAUUAUAUAUUAAAUAUAUAUAUUAUAUAUAAUUAAAUAGAGAGAGAGUUCGGCUACUAUACUCUAUUAUAUAGACCCCUUUAUACUCAUAAGUUUUUUAUCGUCAAAUCUAUACUUUUGACUAUUUUCAUCCGUAAAUCAUACUAUUCAACCAACCACCAACUCAAUCCUAAGGGACCACUAUUAUCCUAAUUGCACAUCCAACGCCGAAAAAUUUAUAAAUUUAAAGAGGUCUAUACUCAUAAGAAUAUAGUAGCCCUAGCCUAUAUAUAGAGAGUGGGCUGGUAUGCUUAUGGAAGCACGGAGCCCUCCGUGCUUCCAAGUUGUUUUUGAUGUUCGGACUUUCGAAUCGACGAUCGGCUCUGUUAGAGUUGAUCUAGAGUAUUUGAAGUACCUAGAAAAUAAAUUUUGUGAUUUUUCGAUAUCAUUUGCCUAGUGAUCGAAGGGGCUCAAAAUUAAUAAUUUUAAUGACCGUGGUGAGCCGGUUGCAAGUUUAACGGUGUAGAAAUAUCCAAAUCACAUGAAAUUUUGAUAGAAAAUUCUUUAUACCAUAUAAAACAAGAUCAAUAACUUUGAUCUAAAAUUUUAAUGUCAUAUCAUCAUAUUUUGUAAGAUUUUUAUUUUCAGCCGUUGAUUUUGAGCCACUCCGAUCACUAGGCAAAUAAUAUCGAAAAAUCGCUAAAUUUAUUUUCUAGAUACUUCAAAUACUCUAGAUCAAGUCUAACGGAGCCGAUCGUCGAUUCGAAAGUCCGAACAUCGAAAACAAAGUGAAAGCACGGAGCCCUCCGUGCUUCCAUAAGCAUCAUAGCCACACUCUAUAUAUAUAUAUAUAUAUAUAGAGUUGAGCUAGAAUACUAUCGAUAGCAAACGGGCUCCGUUGCCACCCAUUUGUUUUCGAUGAUGGAGCCUCCAAAUCGACGAUCGGCACCGUUGAUCAUGAUCUAUACGACUUGAAGUAUCUAGAAACCAAAUUUUAAAUCUUUUCAAUAUUAUUAACCUAAUGAUCAAAGGGUUUCAAAAUUUAUAAUUUUAAUGGUCAAUAUGAGGCAUUUUCUCGUUUAACGGUGUAAAGAUAUCCAAAUCAAUUGAAUUUUGGUUAGAAAAUUUUUUAAACAAUUUAGAACAAGAUCUAUACUCUCGAUCUUGAUUAUAAGAUUCCUAUCAUCACUUUUUAAAGAAUAUUUAUUUUCAGCCGUUCAUUUUGUGUCCACUUGAUGGACAAGAGAACAAUAUCGAAAAAGUAUGAAAUUUGAUUUUUAGAUGCUUUAAGUGGUAUAGAUCAUAUUCAACGGUGCCGAUCGUCGAUUUGGAGACUCCAUCAUCGAAAACAAAUGGGUGGCAACGGAGCCCGUUUGCUAUCGAUAGCAUUCUAGCUCAACUCUAUAUAUAUAU